AGCAGCCGCGGUAAUUCCAGCUCCAAUAGCGUAUAUUAAAGUUGUUGCAGUUAAAAAGCUCGUAGUUGAAUUUCGGGAUCAAUGUUUCGGUCAUGCCGUUGGUAUGUACUGAUAUUAUUGGUUUCUCACCUUCUAAAGAACUGUAAUGCCAUUAAUUUGGUGUCACAGGGAAUUAGGACAGUUACCUUGAAAAAUUAGAGUGCUUAAAGCAGGCUCACGCUUGAAUACAUUAGCAUGGAAUAAUGAAAUAGGACAUCCGAUUCUAUUUUGUUGGUUUCUAGGAUCGAUGUAAUGAUUAAUAGGGAUAGUUGGGGCAUUAGUAUUCAAUUGUCAGAGGUGAAAUUCUUGGAUUUAUUGAAGACUAACUACUGCGAAAGCAUUUGCCAAGGAUAGUUUUCAUUAAUCAAGAACGAAAGUUAGGGGAUCGAAGACGAUCAGAUA
rnacentral:rRNA from 1 species